rnacentral:tmRNA from 1 species
GGGGCUGCACUGGUUUCGACAUCGGUUCGGACGCGUGGCAGGGCAUGUCGAGGUUCUGUUACCUCGUAAAACAGCAGAAAAAAACUAACUGCAAACGACGAACGUUUCGCACUCGCCGCUUAAUCCGGUG